rnacentral:lncRNA from 1 species
AACAUAGGCAUUUCUAUUAAUGAAUAUAAGAGUUUUACAAGAUGAGCUACAAGGGUGAUGGCAGCGGAAAAGCUCUAUCUAAGGUAGCACGGUGCUGGUGCGGCUCCAAUCCACAGGGAUGUGACUCGGUUAUGCUCCUAGCCCGCGCACGCUCUGUCUCCUUGGGGACGAACGACGAAUCCUUAUGUGAACCUGGCCACGUUAAAAGCCGCUGAGUACUUUCGAAUGUACUCACAAGCAAAGCAAACUAACAUAUACACUAAGCAAAGCAAUCCAUGGUAUUCAAGCAUUUACUUGUUAUUAGAGCAAUAUUAAUCAUCAUGACAUAGCAUACCUAUCUAGCAAUGUUAAUUAUCAAGGUAUAACAUGGUUAUCUAAAAAGAUAACUUCUGAAGUUAAUGCGAUGAAGUAAAGCAUAUUAGAUAAAUGAUUUAUACUCCGACUAUUCUUAUGAUCCAGUCUGAAUCUGAUCCAAAUCCAAUCCAACUCAUGUGGUCAUCGACCACUCAUCUCAUAGUCAUCCCAUGGCUAAUAUGUCAUCCAACUCAUGUGGUCAUCGACCACUCAUCUCAUAGCCAUCCCAUGGCUAACUUGUCAUAUACCGGACAUCGUCCGAUGUCUACAGCAGACGAGUUCUUCCAUCAUUAUCAUGACUCUUACGGUUGAUCAUCUUACUGAGGUCUGGUCGGGCUGUCCAAUACCGUGGAAUCGGCUAUUCGAAUAGUUUUACACUCUGCAGAGGUUGCACACUUUACCCACACUCUGGAGUACUGACCUCGUGAUCCCAUUCGGGUGGACCAGUAUUACUCCAACGAAACUUGCCUGAACCGUGACCCUCUCAUCAUAUCCCCGGCAACCACUCCCUUCCGGAGUCCUGUCCUGGGUGGUCCUGUGUCCUCAUGACACAUGUGUCCUCAUGACACGUGCCACCGUCGUGGCCAAACAAAAAUGUCCCAAAUGGGGAUGGGCCCAACUCAACUUAACUGGGCUCACAGGGUUAUCACCACCUACCUGAUCAGGGCCAGCGCGCGUGCAUAACCCUCCCUCUUUGGGGAUAUCGGUGAGAGCGAUCACGCGAACAACUAAAGUCAAGGCCGUCCCAUAUAGGCAACUGUGCUUGCACGGAUAAGCCCAGACAGGUGACUCGAGAUCAACUCAUUAGGUUUAAUUUAUCAAUAUGUUUAUCAAGCUUGGCUACCUGGCAACAAUAACUCAUCAUGAUAAUAGCGAUGAAUGGAAUAGCAAUGAUAAUAACCCUACAGACUAUUUCUAUAUCAUGAACCUUUUCUACCACAAGAUGUGAAUAGAAAAUUGUUACUUCACAGGUUUUAUCUAUAACUGAGAUCCUCGAAACACUCGCAUAUACUCGACAAAUAAAUCGGUAGUCACCAAAACGUUCUUUACAACACAGAUCUGGGACAUUACCGGAAUAACUCAACCCCGGCUCAAGAUGGCUGGAAAGCAACUCAAGACAUGAGGAGGUGUUGAUAAGAAGAAUGUAGCAGUUCCCUAAGACGGCUGAAGAUCAGCUUAGAGGAUAGGGUCGCUGCCACGGAAAGAAACUCAACACCUACCCGCGACGGCCGAAAAGCAGCUCAGAACACGGGUCAGCGGCUGACAAGACAAUUAUAAAUUUGGCAUCCACCCCGGACGUCCGAAAGCAGCUCAGACUCAGGCGUGGUGCCAUCAUCGAAGAAAAUGCGAGCAAGGGUUCGUCAGCAUCUCAUACAGCACGCUACUACGCUUGUAAUCACAAUCAUAUUAAUUUAAUCAUGCACGAACAAAACAGAUCAAUGCUUUAGGGCAUAUAUCAUAUGGCCGACUUGCCUGGGGUCGAAGGAUACUCCCGGAAGAGGUGUGGAAAGUCCGCAGAAAGGAUUGCCGGAUAAUGCUCUCUCUCGAAGGAGGCUGAUUGGAAACAAGGGAAAAAUUGUCAUUUUUAAAGUGUCACCACCUUGUGAAAAUGAUAUCACCAUGACGGGCUCGACGAGACGAAGACGAGGGCUUUGGAAUCACCCCAAUCGGAGUCUCGAGCAAAAAGAUAUGGGCAUUUGAAGAAUAGGGACCAAUAUGUAAAUAAAGUAUUCACAGACAGGCACCUGGCCGCCUAAACCGAAGGCGCACUACGCAGAUUAUGUUUCCUCGAAAGGAAAGCGUACUUCAACAGUAGUGUAACUGAAAUAUGCCUUCUUAUUUCUGAAAACGUAUUCCAACAUAUGCGCUUCCACUUAUCCAGCUGGCUGCCUCUAGCCGCCGACAGGUGGGUCCCGACCCCACCUGUCGGGUCCUCUCUCUCCUUCUCGCCUCUCUCUUCCUCCUCCCGAUGCCCAGAUGCACCAGCGACACUGCGCGGCGUCGGCGCACGUCCGGCCGGCUCCGGCCACCUCUAGCUGAGGCGAGGGCACCGGAGGCCUUGGGGUGAAGCACCGCCUCCAUACAAGGACAACCUUCGCGCCGGAAAGCUCUGAGUCAGCCCCAAUCCAAGAGGUCCGACGCGGCGGCCCUGGCGGCACAGGGCGGAGGGGAGGGGCUCCUGGCUGGAUGUGGCAGUCCAGGGAGGGCUAGAGGAGGGAGGAGAGUCUGCCCGUCCGCUCAAGGGGCCCCGGGGAGGCCUAAAAACAGGAGGGUCGGCUCGCUGGAUAAGCUCGGCCACGGUGACAAGCUUAUCCGCGCACUGGAGCUUGGGGCUGGCGGGUUGCGGCGUCUAGGGGCCACGGUGAGGAGGGGAGCAGCUGGAAGAGGCUUCGGGAGGGCCCAGGGAGGAAGGAGACAAGGGAGAGAGGUGACGACUCACGGGUCACGGGAAAACAGGGUUCCGGCGAAGCUUGUCGCGACCUGCCGGAGGAGAGGACGAAGGGGAAAACUACGGGAGAGGGGGAGGAUGGAUGCUAUAGAGCUAUUGGAC